rnacentral:rRNA from 1 species
GGGAUUAGUGGCGAACGGGUGAGUAACACGUGGGCAAUCUGCCCUGCACUCUGGGACAAGCCCUGGAAACGGGGUCUAAUACCGGAUAUGACCGUCUGCCGCAUGGUGGAUGGUGUAAAGCUCCGGCGGUGCAGGAUGAGCCCGCGGCCUAUCAGCUUGUUGGUGAGGUAGUGGCUCACCAAGGCGACGACGGGUAGCCGGCCUGAGAGGGCGACCGGCCACACUGGGACUGAGACACGGCCCAGACUCCUACGGGAGGCAGCAGUGGGGAAUAUUGCACAAUGGGCGAAAGCCUGAUGCAGCGACGCCGCGUGAGGGAUGACGGCCUUCGGGUUGUAAACCUCUUUCAGCAGGGAAGAAGCGAAAGUGACGGUACCUGCAGAAGAAGCGCCGGCUAACUACGUGCCAGCAGCCGCGGUAAUACGUAGGGCGCAAGCGUUGUCCGGAAUUAUUGGGCGUAAAGAGCUCGUAGGCGGCUUGUCACGUCGGUUGUGAAAGCCCGGGGCUUAACCCCGGGUCUGCAGUCGAUACGGGCAGGCUAGAGUUCGGUAGGGGAGAUCGGAAUUCCUGGUGUAGCGGUGAAAUGCGCAGAUAUCAGGAGGAACACCGGUGGCGAAGGCGGAUCUCUGGGCCGAUACUGACGCUGAGGAGCGAAAGCGUGGGGAGCGAACAGGAUUAGAUACCCUGGUAGUCCACGCCG